AGAAACAGAAGCAAUCUGAUGAAGAAUAUGGCUGGAGGUUGCAUGAAUUUCAGGCCGAAUUAGCUUCCUCCAAUGAGCUCCGGCAAAAACUCCAAAGAGAGGAUUCACAAGGAGGAAAUGGAGAAAUGGCAGGAUGAGAUCAGAGAGUUGCGCACGAUUGAUGCUUUGAAUGAGGAGGCUAGUGCUGUGCUGCAUAAUGCUACAUAUUUGCUUCAGAAUCCUCAUGUUGAUUCUUGAAGGUAUCAAAACCUCAGGUAUGGUCUAACAAGCGGCUGGUCAAGGAUGGUGCAAGUUGAGAAUUUUCAGGUCGGUGAUAUGGUGCAGCUAAUGGUGCUUCACAGAGGUUAACAACAAUCUACACUUAGCUAUGUAUCACCCGGAAGGAUCUUCUAAUAACAAUACUAACUAGAGCAAAUACUAGCUGCAUGCUCUUGAAUCAGUUAAAAUUAUUAUGGCCGGUUUAAUUUUCUAGCUUCAGGGAAUAAUGCUCGUGUAGUGCUAGAAGGUCAUCAUUUUCUUAUAGCUAGGUUUUGUUUACUUUGUUGUUCUUUUAAUUUUGUUUUGCUGUUAAAUAAAGUCAAAGAUGAUUUAUCAAACAUUACUUUUCUUAUUCUUCACUUGUUAGCAGCUUUUGUUACGUAGUGAUA